rnacentral:rRNA from 1 species
GGACUACAGGGGUAUCUAAUCCUGUUUGAUCCCCUUGCUUUCGCGCUUCAGCGUCAGGUUUAAGCUAGAAAAUCGCCUUCGCCACCGGUGUUCUUCCACAUAUCUACGCAUUUCACCGCUACUUGUGGAAUUCCAUUUUCUCCGCCUACCCUCUAGAUAGAAAGUUUCAAAUGCCGUUCCGAGGUUGAGCCCCGGGAUUUCACAUCUGACUUUUCUUCCAGCCUACGCGCCCUUUACGCCCAAUAAAUCCGAUUAAUGCUUGCACCCUACGUAUUACCGCGGCUGCUGGCAC